AUCGCUUGCUUUUUAAUUGAAAGCUAGAAUGAAUGGCUUGACGAAAACAUAACUGUCUCUUUUACAUUAACUAAAAAUUAAUUUUCAGGUGAAGAAGCCUGAAUAUACUCAAAAGACGAAAAGACCCUAUCGAGCUUAAAAAUAUUUUUAAUCUAUUUUAUCUUAGCUAAAUAAAAAUUAAAAACAAUUUUUUGUUGGGGCGACAGAAGAACAAAUAAAGCUUCUUUUAAUUAAACAAAUUGAUAAAUUUUAAAGACCCAGCAAUACUGAUUAAAAGAAAAGUUACCGUAGGGAUAACAGCGUAAUUUCUUUGGAGAGCUCAAAUUGAAAAAGAAGUUUGCGACCUCGAUGUUGGAUUAAAAAAUCUUCUUGGUGCAGAAGCCAAGACAGAAGGUCUGUCACCAAU
rnacentral:rRNA from 1 species